AGCUCCACGGGGAACAGGUCCAGCCGCUCCACCCGCUUCUCCAGCUCAUACUCGGCGGACGCCGCCAUGGGGUCCACGUCUUCGUUGCGCCUGUCGUAAUCCUCAUUGGGAGACCCGCCAUCGCCACAACAAGACCCUUUUGUGUCUGCUGACGACAGGAAGCGGGCGCUAAAAAUGGUUACUUCCUGUUUGCCUGAAGGGUACCGCCUCUUUGGAUGUCUUUGGAGGCGGGAGUGACCAAAAUAACCCCGGCCAGUCUUUCUUACUGUGCACUUGUAGCUGUCAAUCACGGGCCAAAACAAGAUGGCAGUGUGCAGGAGCUGGUUUCUCCUUCUAACAGUUGUGAGUGCAGCUCACGCCGAGAUCAAAUUCAACCUCCCAGCAGGGAAGUUUUUCUCCUACGAGUUGAUGAGAGAAACGUUCCAGAGCGACUUUGAGUCACUGUCCCAGCUCUACCUGGGGCGCCUGUACGAUGACCCGAUGGUGUUCAAGUGCAACCUGCAGUACUUCCCAGAUCUUCCCGAGUGGCUGCGCUUCACCCAGAGGCAUCCUUUCGACAACGGCUUUCUGUACGGGACCCCGAUGUCGACCGGGAAAAGCGUCAUUGAGAUUUACGCUGUCAACAAGCGAAGCUACGAAACCACUCGGCAAAUUCUUGUCCUUAACGUGAUUGCAGCCAAGAGCCCAUCCUAUCAGGCUGAGUUCUUCAUCAAGCUGCGAGAGAUUGAGAAGGUGCUGCCCCCUGCUGUCCAGGAUGAGAUCAAGCAGGACUUGCAGAAGCUGUGGGACACGGAGGCCUUGGACAUUGUCAACAUCUCCAACGCGCUGGACCGUGGCGGUCGCGUGCCCCUCCCGCUGGCAGGACAUUUUGAAGGCGUGUACGUGAAGGUGGGAUCGGAGCAGAAGUUUUCGGGCUGCCUCCUCCAGGUACAGGCGCCAGAGUAUCAGCGGCAGUGUGCGACGGGCGCCAAGGUCAAGGUUCCUGGGGAGUGCAACUUCUGCAGCAUCCCCAGCAACUGUAUCAGCUGGUGCAGCACUGAGCUGUUUGAUCUGACCCAGAUGGCUCCGAGCCCGCCAGCCCCUACCUUGGGCUCCGGUGUGCUCGAGGCCGGCGAGGACUUCGAGCCACCCAAGUCCCCCGAGGACCGGGACUUUUUGCCCGACUACCUCGUGACUAUUAUUGUGCCGCUGGUGGUGGCCCUCGUCCUGUGUCUGCUGCUCACCUACAUCAUGUGUGGACGUCGCGAAGGCGUAGACAAGAGGAACGAAAAGACAAAUCAGAUCCAGCUGUACCACCACCACACCAUUCUGGACAACACUGACGAGUUGAGGAGCAUGGCGGACCACCGGGGCGUCCCCCCGCCGCUCUCCACGCUGCCCAUGUUCGACAGCCGUACAGGAGCCCAGGCGACGCCCUCCGACAGUCCCCGUAUGCCCCUCAUCAUGGCCCAGCAUGACCCCAAUGUUGACACGAUGCCAAGGAAAUAAAAGCACCAAUGGAGCGUCGAUCCAGGAGGACGGAAUGUCUUGUGUGCGCUUAACGUUUGAAACACAAGUGCAACUGCUGUGGAAUAGUUGGUGCGGCUAGGCACCGAUAGAUGCUAACUUUAAAGACGGGAGCCAUUUUGGGUUUCACAACAGUUGCUCGACAGGACAGUGAAAAGUCAGCCAGUGAGUAGAACCACUUCACAUGCUUUAUUUCAGCACCCAGCAAAAAAUAAUUAAAAACAUCUUGAUUUAUUAUACAUGUACAACAUAAGUACACAAUCUCUCUUUUUCAACCAUGGAAGUGGGUCUGCUUCCUGGUUGGGUUUUUUUUUUCCGACUUCUUCUUGAGACAACAACAAACAAUAUAAAAACAACAGGGCAGGAGUUGUGCUAGUUUUCUUUUUUUAGUGAAGAUGAGACAGAAAAAGAACAACAACGGGCAAGAGAUGUCAAUUGAAAUGGUCACUUUUGUUUUCAGCUACAAUGACAUGCGUUUACAAAAAAACAAUUGCACGGCAAAGAUAACAAGUUGACGAGUCAAUUAAGUAGCACCAAAAGGGUUCGGCGGGCAUACGAGUGGUCAAAAUUACAGUAUGACAGCGAACGUCUCACCAUCACAACAAGUUGAGUUGGUUCAAUAGCACCUUGACGUGUUUACAUGCUCCCCAUUAGGCUUGUGUGUAAAAUAUGACCCUUUUCCUUUAAGAAAAAAACCAAAAGGUGGCGGUGACUUCUUGUUUUGAGGUAGCCAUCAAAGCAAUGAAGGUGCACUUUUGUUUGGGAUUUUUUUUGCAUUCCGUUAGGACAAUUUUACAACAAGGAGACACGUCACACUUUUUACAAUUUAUUUAACACCAAG